GCUUACAACCAUUAGUACCAAAAUAGAAAGUUAGGAAAAAACAAAAGUAUGAUGGCUUAGGGAACUCACUGAAUUGCUUCAUGGGUUUUGUACACCUCUUGCAUUACAUCCUUAUCUUGUCCUUGUUUCUAGCAUACCAACAAAUUAUGACAAUUCAGCAUAAGUUUGUCAAGUAAGAACACAAGCUAAAAGCCAAAAUAAGCUUCGACUACCAGAAAGCAAGAACUCAUGAAAAAGCACAAGAAGACACAAUGAACCUAACAAAGCUAAACCUCCAUCGAUCAGCUUCAAUAGCCGUAAAGACAUAACUCAUGAAAACCACAUAACAAAUAGAUUGAACUUCAAAGAAGCUAACUCCACAAUUAGCUUCAAUCAUCAUAAUCAAGAACUCAGUGGAAAAAAACAAAGGUAAAGACAUAACUCAUGAAAACCACAAAGCAAAUAGAUUGAACUUCAAAGAAGCUAAUUCCACAAUUAGCUUCAACCAUCAUAAUCAAGAACUCAGUGGAAAAAAACAAAGCACAUUGAUUGAAUUCAACAGAAACAGAACUCCACAAUCAGCUUCAGUACUCAGAUAUCAAGAAAGAAAGAAAUUACAAACAGAAAGAUUGCACUUAGCAGAAGCUAAAAUCUAAGAUUAGCUACAACACUCAAAAGAGUUCAGAAACUAAAAAGAUUGCAAUCUGCAGAAGCCAAAAUCCACAUUUUGCUUCAGUAACCAGAAUAAAAGUUUAAAAAGAACAGACUGAUUGAACUUGCAGAAACUAAUAUCAACAAGUAGCUUCAGCACCCAGAAAUAAAGAAAAAAGAAGUUCAAAAAACAGACAGAUUGAAGCUUAUAUCAACAAUUAGCUUCAAUACCCAGAAAGCAAGAACUUAUAAUAUUUGCAGAAACAGAUAGAUUGAACUUAUUAAGUUAACCCUCAGGGGUUGGCCGGGUAUAGCAAUUGAUUUGAGCCUUGGGGUUUGCUCCCUGAAAGGUCUCAAAUUCGAAACCCACUGGGUGCAAAAAAUUUCUGAGAGCCAUCGGACACGUAAAACCUAAAUUAACCGUGGUGCAUUUGCGGGAAACUCGUGGUGCAUUUGCGAGAAACUCCUUGCCGAGGGCAUGUGCAGCCCCGGGAUUAGUCGGCGCUCUUAGAGGCUCGGACACCCGACGCACAUAAAAAAAAAUUUAAUAGAAGUUAAAAUCCACGAUUAGAAUGAACAGCCACAAAGCAAAACUCUAGAAAAGAACAGACAGAUUGAUGAACUCCUAACCAAUCAAAAUCAAGAACUCAAGAAUUCACAAAACAAGACAGAUUUUAACUGAAAAGCAGCUAAAAUCCACAAUGAAGUUCAAUAUACAGAAAUCAACAACUCAUAGUAAAACCAGAAAACAGGUUAAAUUUAGAUCAAA
rnacentral:lncRNA from 1 species